rnacentral:rRNA from 1 species
UGCAAGUUGAACGGUAACAUGUUGUAGCAAUACGAUGAUGACGAGUGGCGCACGGGUGCGUAACACGUGUGUAACCUACCUUAUACAGGAACAUAACGUUGAGAAAUCGGCGCUAACAUUCCAUAAUAUUAUUUGUAGGCAUCUAUGAAUAAUUAAAACUCCGGUGGUAUAAGAUGGGCACGCGUUCCAUUAGCUAGUUGGUAAGGUAACGGCUUACCAAGGCAACGAUGGAUAGGGGUUCUGAGAGGAUAAUCCCCCACACUGGAACUGAGACACGGUCCAGACUCCUACGGGAGGCAGCAGUAAGGAAUAUUGGGCAAUGGAGGCAACUCUGACCCAGCCAUGCCGCGUGCAGGAAGACGGCCCUAUGGGUUGUAAACUGCUUUUAAUAGGGAUUAAAGUCGACUACGUGUAGUUGUUUGCAAGUACCUAUAGAAUAAGCAUCGGCUAACUCCGUGCCAGCAGCCGCGGUAAUACGGAGGAUGCAAGCGUUAUCCGGAUUUAUUGGGUUUAAAGGGUGCGCAGGCGGACUAAUAAGUCAGUGGUGAAAUUUACAUGCUUAACAUGUGACGUGCCAUUGAUACUGUUAGACUAGUAUACAAAUGACGUAGCUGGAAUGUGUUAUGUAGCGGUGAAAUGCAUAGAUAUAACACAGAACACCGAUCGUGAAGACAGGUUACGAAUUUGUGAUAGACGCUCAUGCACGAAAGCGUGGGGAUCAAACAGGAUUAGAUACCCUGGUAGUCCACGCUGUAAACGAUGAUAACUUGUUGUUGGGCACAUAGUGCUCAGUGGCUAAGCGAAAGCGAUAAGUUAUCCACCUGGGGAGUACGAUCGCAAAGGUGAAACUCAAAGGAAUUGACGGGGGGCCCGCACAAGCGGGAGGAGCAUGUGGUUUAUUUCGAUGAUACGCGAGGAACCUUACCCCGGGCUCGAACGUAU